rnacentral:rRNA from 1 species
UACGUAGGGGGCAAGCGUUGUCCGGAAUUAUUGGGCGUAAAGAGCGUGUAGGCGGCCAGAUAAGUCCGCUGUGAAAUCUCGAGGCUCAACUUCGAGCUGUCGGUGGAAACUAUCUGGCUAGAGUCCGGAAGAGGAGAAUGGAAUUCCUGGUGUAGCGGUGAAAUGCGCAGAUAUCAGGAAGAACACCCGUGGCGAAGGCGGUUCUCUGGGACGGUACUGACGCUGAGGCACGAAAGCGUGGGGAGCAAACAGG